AAGAAAGUAGAAAAGGGCGCAAGGUGGAUGCCUUGGCUCACGGAGGCGAUGAAGGACGUGAUAAGCUGCGAUAAGCCUCGGGUAGGUGCAAAUAACCUUUGAUCCGAGGAUUUCCGAAUGGGACAACCCGGCCGUCUGAAGGACGGUCACUAUGCAAUGGCAUAGGGCAAACGCAGGGAACUGAAACAUCUUAGUACCUGCAGGAAGAGAAAAUAAGUUAAUGAUUCCCCCAGUAGUGGCGAGCGAACGGGGAAGAGCCCAAACCAUGACUGUGGCAACGCAGCCAUGGGGUUGUAGGACCACGCUGUAGCACGAUACUUGUGAGAAGAACGUUCUGGAAAGAACGGCCAUAGACGGUGACAGCCCGGUAAUCGAAGCAAGUUGAAGCUUAGUGGUAUCCUGAGUAACGCGGAACACGAGAA
rnacentral:rRNA from 1 species